rnacentral:rRNA from 1 species
GGCUACCGCUAUUGGAGUUCGAUUAAGCCAUGCGAGUCGCGAGAAUUAGAUUCUCGGCGUACCGCUCAGUAACACGUGGGUAACCUGCCCUAUGCUGGAUAAUAACCUCGGGAAACUGAGAAUAAUGAUCUAUAGUUCACUACGCCUGGAACGGUGAGUGGAUGAAAGCUCCGGCGGCAUAGGAUGGGCCUGCGGCGUAUCAGGUUGUAGGGGGUGUAAAGUACCCUCUAGCCCUCUACGCGUACGGGUGUUGGGAGACAUAGCCCGGAGAUGGAUUCUGAGACACGAAUCCAGACCCUACGGGGUGCAGCAGGCGCGAAAACUUGGCAAUGCGAGCAAUCGUGACCAGGGAACUCCAAGUGGCUGGGGUAAGACCCAGUCUUUUCAGAACUCUUCAAAGGUUUUAGAAUAAGGGGCGGGUAAGGACGGUGCCAGCCGCCGCGGUAAUACCGGCGCCUCAAGUGGUAGUCGCUUUUAUUGGGCCUAAAACGUCCGUAGCCGGUUUGGUACAUUCGUGGGUAAAUCAACUCGCUCAACGAGUUGAAUUCUGCGAGGACGGCCAGACUUGGGACCGGGAGAGGUGUGGGGUACUCUCAGGGUAGGGGUAAAAUCCUGUCAUCCUGAGAGGACCACCUGUUGCGAAGGCGCCACACUAGAACGGAUCCGACGGUCAGGGACGAAGCCUAGGGGCACGAACCGGAUUAGAUACCCGGGUAGUCCUAGGUGUAAACGCUGUGGACUUGAUGUUGGAGGAGCUCCGAGCUCUUUCAGUGUCGAAGCGAAGGUGAUAAGUCCACUGCCUGGGAAGUACGGUCGCAAGGCUGAAACUUAAAGGAAUUGGCGGGGGAGCACCACAAGGGGUGAAGCCUGCGGUUC